AGACCCGAAACCCGGUGAUCUAGCCAUGGGCAGGUUGAAGGUUGGGUAACACUAACUGGAGGACCGAACCGACUAAUGUUGAAAAAUUAGCGGAUGACCUGUGGCUGGGGGUGAAAGGCCAAUCAAACCGGGAGAUAGCUGGUUCUCCCCGAAAGCUAUUUAGGUAGCGCCUCGUGAAUUCAUCUCCGGGGGUAGAGCACUGUUUCGGCUAGGGGGCCAUCCCGGCUUACCAACCCGAUGCAAACUGCGAAUACCGGAGAAUGUUAUCACGGGAGACACACGGCGGGUGCUAACGUCCGUCGUGAAGAGGGAAACAACCCAGACCGCCAGCUAAGGUCCCAAAGUCAUGGUUAAGUGGGAAACGAUGUGGGAAGGCCCAGACAGCCAGGAUGUUGGCUUAGAAGCAGCCAUCAUUUAAAGAAAGCGUAAUAGCUCACUGGUCGAGUCGGCCUGCGCGGAAGAUGUAACGGGGCUAAACCAUGCACCGAAGCUGCGGCAGCGACACUCAGGUGUUGUUGGGUAGGGGAGCGUUCUGUAAGCCUGCGAAGGUGGCCUGUGAGGGUUGCU
rnacentral:rRNA from 1 species